ensembl:lncRNA
CCGGGGGAUCCCCAAGGCUGCUGGGGAAUUUUUGGGGGCCACAAGGAGAAGUUUGGGGAGGUGGAGGGCAGGACCGAGGUGGGGGCUCCGUGUUUUUUGGGGGGUUCUGGGAAUUGGGGGGGGGUCCCCAAGCCUGAGGGAAUUUGGGGGGGUCCCCAAGGUCUGAGGGAAUGGGGGGGUCCCGGGGGUCCCGUGGCCCCCCCUGAGCGCAGCGAUGCCCCCCCAGUGAAGGACAAGAGGACACGCAGGUGGACUCGGAGGGCGCGGCCCAUGAAGGACGAGACCUUCGGGGAGUACCGGUCCCUGGAGAGCGACGGCGAGGAGAAGGCGUCGGGCAGCUCCGGGCGCUCUCUGGGCGCGGCGGGCGCGGCGCUGGGCAGCGACGACAGCCUGCCGGAUACGGCGCAGCGCCGACGUGCAGUUCAACGAGGACGGCUCCUUCAUCGGCCAGUACAGCGGCGCCCGCGGCGCCACCGCCGGCAGCUCCGGCCCCGCCAGCCCCUCGGCCGCCGCCCCGCUCGACUGACCCCACCCGUGGGUGCCCCUGGGGGUGUCCCCGCGGCCGUGGGGACGCGGUGGGGGCAGCUCAGUGUCACCCUGGGACCCCCCCCGUGGCAGUGGGGACCCCCCCCCAUGUCACAAUGGGACCCCCAAGUGUCACCGUGGGACCCUCCCGUGGCAGUGGGGACCCCCCCGUGGCAGUGGGGACCCCCCCGUGACGUAGCGGGACCCCCAUGGCCCGGGGGACCCCCCCAGUGUCACAGUGGGACCCCCCCCCAUAGCCCUGGGGACCCUCCCCAUGUCACAAUGGGACCCCCCAAGUGUCACAGAGGGACCCCCCAAUGUCACAGUGGGACCCCCACAGCUCUGAGGACCCCCCAUGACCCUGGGGACCCCCCCAAGUGUCACAGUGGGACCCCCCCCAUGUCACAAUGGGACCCCCAAGUGUCACAGUGGGACCCUCACAGCUCUGAGGACCCCCCAUGGCCCUGGGACCCCCCCCCCAUGUCACAGUGGGGCCCCCCCAUGGCCCUGGGGACCCCCCAAUGUCACAAUGGGGACCCCCAGUGUCACAAUGGGACCCCCCCAGUGUCACAGUGGGACACCGCCAGUGUCACAGUGGGACCCCCCAAUGUCACAGUGGGACCCCCACAGCUCUGAGGACCCCCCAUGACCCCCAUGACCCUGGGGACCCCCCCAAUGUCACAGUGGGACCCCCCCCAUGGCCCUGGGGACCCCCCCAAUGUCACAAUGGGACCCCCCCAAUGUCACAGUGGGACCCCCCCCAUGGCCUUGGGCACCCCCCAUGUCACAGUGGGACCCCCCCAUGACCCUGGGGACCCCCCCAAUGUCAAAUGGGGACCCCAGACCCCCCCCGGACCCCCCCCCUCCAUUUAAGGGCCCCCCCCACCCCCUUCACUGCCAAAGGGGGGAGUCCCUUAAGUGCCCCUCCCCCCCGAUUUGGGGGGGUUGUUUGAGGUGGGGGAGGGGCACAAGACCCCCCCCCGCCCAACCCCCCCAAAAACACCUCACAGUGGGGGGGGGAGGGGCGGGGACCCCCCCUUUGGACUCAGCCAAAAAAUCCCCCUCCCCCCUUCGCGCUGGAUUUUGGGGGGGGGGUCUGGACAUGGGGGGGCUGGGGGGGGGCUCUGCAGACCAAAAUUAGGGGGGGCAAGGGGGGGAUUUUGCCCCCCCCCCAGAUUUUAGACACACCCCCCCCCCACUCCCACCCUCCUUCACUCCUCCCUCCCCCCAAAAAAAUCUCUGGGGGGUUUUUUUGGGGUGAGGGUCUCAACCCCCCCCCCCAAAAUUUCUGAAUGCAUCUCACGGCGCGGCCUUGGCGACCUCACACGAGCCGGCGGGGGGGGGGCCGCACCCCGACCCCCCCCCGCCCCCCAAAACCCCCCCGGGCCCCCCCCGCACCCCAAACCCCCCCCGGGCCCCCCCCGCACCCCAAACCCCCCCUCACCUUCCCCGUGGGGGGCUCUGCACCCCAAAACCCCCCCAAAACCCUCCGGGGGGGGGGGGUCUGAACCCCAAAUCCCCCCCCAUCCCCAAAUCCCCCCCCACGGGGGGGUCUGCACCCCCCCACCCCCUCCGCGGGGGGGUCCCCACCCCAAAAAUCCCCUCCCCACGCGGGGGUCCCCACCCCAACCCCCCCCCCCCGCGCUGUGUCGUAGCUUUGUAGCCCCCCCCCCCAUGUGUGCGGUGCCCCCCCCCCCAAAAUCCCCUUUUUUGGGAAAAGAAGCGGAAAACAAAACAAAAAUCGGUCCAAAAUCGGUCCAAAGGGCCCCAAAAACGGCAGCCGAGCCCUCGCCCCUCCCCCACCUCGUGUGACCCCGACCCCCCCCCCACGUGUGACCCCCCCCGAGCGAAAACAAAAAAAACCCGCAAAAAUAAAAAAAUCCCCCCAAAAAUAUAAAAAAAAUUUAAAAAAAAGGUGGGGGGGGGGGAAAAGCCCCAAAAAUAAAGAAAAAACUGCCGGAAAA